rnacentral:rRNA from 1 species
ACUCAAAUGAAUUGACGGGGGCCCGCACAAGCGGUGGAGCAUGUGGUUUAAUUCGACGCAACGCGAAGAACCUUACCUGGGCUCGAACGGCUUUUGAAUGGCUUUGGAAACAGGGCAGUUCCCGCAAGGGACAGAAGUCGAGGUGCUGCAUGGCUGUCGUCAGCUCGUGUCGUGAGAUGUUGGGUUAAGUCCCGCAACGAGCGCAACCCUUGUCCUGUGUUGCUAACCCUGAAAGGGGUGCACUCUCAGGAGACCGCCAGGGAUAACCUGGAGGAAGGUGGGGAUGACGUCAAGUCAUCAUGGCCUUUAUGUCCAGGGCUACACACGUGCUACAAUGGACGGUACAAACCGCUGCCAACCCGCGAGGGGGAGCAAAUCGGAGAAAACCGUUCUCAGUUCGGAUCGCAGGCUGCAACUCGCCUGCGUGAAGCUGGAAUCGCUAGUAAUGCCGUAUCAGAACGACGGCGUGAAUACGUUCCCGGGCCUUGUACACACCGCCCGU